CCAAUAGCGUAUAUUAAAGUUGUUGCAGUUAAAAAGCUCGUAGUUGAACUUCGGGGUCUACCCAUUGGUCAGGCUUAAUUGUCUGCACUGGUGAGAUGGAUCUCUACCUUCUGAGGAACUUUCAUGCCAUUUAUUUGGUGUGAUGGGAAAUCAGGACUGUUACUUUGAAAAAAUUAGAGUGUUUAAAGCAGACUAUCGUCUGAAUACAUUAGCAUGGAAUAAUGAAAUAGGACGGACUGAUUCUAUUUCGUUGGUUUCCAGGAUCACCGUAAUGAUUAAUAGGGAUAGUUGUGGGCAUUAGUAUUCAAUUGUCAGAGGUGAAAUUCUUGGAUUUAUUGAAGACUAACUACUGCGAAAGCAUUUGCCAAGGAUGUUUUCAUUAAUCAAGAACGAAAGUUAGGGGAUCGAAGACGAUCAGAUACCGUCGUAGUCUUAACCAUAAACUAUGCCGACUAGGGAUCGGACGAAGUUAAUUUUAUAAUGACGCGUUCGGCACCUUACG
rnacentral:rRNA from 1 species